CCCACGAGAAUAAACUAUUAGACAUGUCCAUGUCACAACAUCAUUAGGACACCACCAUCAAAUGCAAAAUCUGUCCUUCACUAUAGCAACUCUUUUUUUAAUUUGACACUACUUUGUUAUUGGUUUUAUUUUAGUUUAGUGGUAGCGUUUUCUUUGUUUAGAGUUUAAAUCAAACACAUUUUAGGCUCUUUAGAUGGUAUACACUUUUUGAGGGUCUGCCUUAAACCCAGUCUAUUAGUUCUAUAUGUUAUCAUUCAUCUCACAAGGCCCUAAUGUCAACGUCGUCAUCCCAUAGCGUCCCGACACUCUUCUUCAUUAUCUUUCCAUCGGCACGACGAUUAAAACAUGCUUCCCUUGAUAACAUUGCUUUGUCUUCAUACUAUUACACCCCAAGAUGGCAUACAAGUCCAGCGGAAGUAAUAGGAUAGAUGUAUUCCAUUUGUGGGUCAUCCGACGGGCAAAUGAUGGAAGUGGAACAGAUUAUGUGCUCCAAUUGUGCGAUGGUUGGUCAUCCCUUUUCACCUUUUAAUACUAAUUUUUUUUAUUUCAUCAUAAAUUAACUUGUCACUAAUACAUUUUGUAUUCGUAUACCCUCCAACAUACUGUUUUAAAUAUUUUCAAUUAUAACAAAAGAAAUAACAUUGCAGUCUAGCACAUAAUCCCCCCAUUCCAUAAUGUAGUGCGUAUGGUUUUUCCUUAUAGUCAAUCAUAACGAAGUUUCACCAAUUUAUUGAGAAAAAUAUCAACAAUUAUAAUACAAAACAAAUAAAAUAUGACAAUAUAUCUUGUGUUUUAUAUAGUGAUAUUAAUUUCAUAAAGUAUAUGCAGAUACUUUUCUUUAUAAACUUGAUCAAAGUUGAUGUAGUUUGACUUCCUUCAAAUAUACACACACUACAUUAUUGAACUAGGGGAGUAUAUAUUAAGGUUAAUAUUCAUAUAAUUGAGUUAACAUUUUUUAUCUUCUUAGUUAAGUUUGCCAUAUGGAAAAAAUUGGCUGCCAAAUUUAUAUCUAAGAAAAUCGGAAUAAUCAAGUUGCCCUCAUUGGCUAAUGCACUUAUAUGUGUGAUCUGUCCACAGUGUUCUUAUAAUCUACACAAGAUUUUUCUAAAAUCAAAU
rnacentral:lncRNA from 1 species